rnacentral:rRNA from 1 species
UGAAUACGAGACGCUAAGGCGUCGAAGUAGUGUAUGUCAUACUUCCAAGAAAAGCUUGCACUGUCAUAGAUAAAAAACGCCUGUACCAUAACCGACACAGGUGGGUAGGUAGAGUAUACUAAGGGGCGCGAGAUAACUCUCUCUAAGGAACUCGGCAAAAUAACUCCGUAACUUCGGGAGAAGGAGUGCCUUAUUCGUAAGGUUGCAAUAACAAGAUCCAAGCAACUGUUUAUCAAAAACACAGGUCUCCGCUAAGUCGUAAGACGAUGUAUGGGGGCUGACGCCUGCCCAGUGCCAGAAGGUUAAAGAAGUUGGUUAGCAAUUGCGAAGCUGAUAACUGAAGCCCUGGUGAACGGCGGCCGUAACUAUAACGGUCCUAAGGUAGCGAAAUUCCUUGUCGGGUAAGUUCCGACCCGCACGAAAGGCGUAAUGAUUUGGAUACUGUCUCGGAGAGGGGCUCGGUGAAAUAGACUUGUCUGUGAAGAUGCGGACUACCUGCACCAGGACAGAAAGACCCUAUGAAGCUUUACUGUAACUUGAAAUUGAAAUUGGACUUUAUUCGCGCAGUAUAGGUGGGAGGCGUUGAUUAUAAUCUUGUGGGAUUAUUGGAGCCAUCAGUGAGAUACCACUCUUGUAAUGUUAGAUUUCUAACUUUGAAUCAUUAUCUGGUCAAGGAACAGUUUCAGGCGGGCAGUUUGACUGGGGCGGUCGCCUCCUAAACGGUAACGGAGGCGUACAAAGGUUUCCUCUGAACGGUUAGAAAUCGUAUCUAGAGUGUAAAGGCAUAAGGAAGCUUGACUGUGAGACCUACAAGUCGAGCAGGGACGAAAGUCGGUCUUAGUGAUCUGACGGUACUGAGUGGAAAGGCCGUCACUCAACGGAUAAAAGUUACUCUAGGAUAACAGGCUGAUCUCCUCCAAGAGUUCACAUCGACGGGGAGGUUUGGCACCUCGAUGUCGGCUCAUCGCAUCCUGGGGCGGUAGUACGUCCCAAGGGUUGGGCUGUUCGCCCAUGAAAGCGGUACGCGAGCUGGGUUCAGAACGUCGUGAGACAGUUCGGUCCAUAUCCGGUGUAGGCGUUAGAAUAUUGAGAGGAGCCUUCUUUAGUACGAGAGGACCGAGAAGGACAUACCUCUGGUGUACCAGUUAUCGUGCCAACGGUAAACGCUGGGUAGCUAUGUAUGGAGUGGAUAACCGCUGAAAGCAUCUAAGUGGGAAGCCCACCUCAAGAUAAGUAUUCUCAUC